ensembl:lncRNA
GGCAAAGGUGACUUGGCCUACACGCGCAUUGACAGCUUUAUGGGCCGUGUGCGGCCAGCAGCGGGGAGAAUGGCGAGAAGGAGCUGGCGUCCCGCCCAGACCAGAAUCCUCCGGCGACAUGAGGCAAAGGAAUUCUGUUCAUUAUUUUGGAAAUGUCCUGCUGGUAUUUUCCAAGCAGAAACCCCCACCCACCCCCCGGUGGAGGGUUGAGUCAUAUGGGGUGCCAUCCAGAACGCCACCCCGUUACACCAUCAGCCGCGGUCUGCGUGGACGUAGGUCUUGUUUUCUCUUUGUUUUACUGCGCCGCCGGCUCCAGGGCCCUCCUCAGUAUCUCACAACUUGGCUCCCACGGGACCGCCAGUCACAAAACCAAAGCACCACACCGGCCCGGAGACGGGGAGGCAGAGGGAGAGGGAGAGAGUGAUUAUGUUAUUUUGUGGUUGUACUUAUUUUGUUUUCGUUUGUUUUCAUAAGUACUUAAUAGAGUCCACAUGGUUUCUGGGUGCAUCUCGAUGUCCUGGAGUCCUUGCCAGUAUGAACAAGAAGACACGAGCCACAUAGCGCGGGAUAAGGGCAGUCAUUAACCAAUCCCCUGAGAGGGGGGCAUUCACGAGCCCCAGCACCGGAGGCAUGGUGUGAGGGCGGGCGCGGUGUCACCUAGAGUACAUGUUGUUGUACAAGUAGGUCCUCCUCUCUGCGGCUGCGUCCGAGUCCGCUGGCCGCCAGAGGGCCGCCGGUCGGCAGGCGGAGACGCCGGGCUGAAGCAGAACCUGACCCAAGGAAGGCAUCAACUCUGGGGUUCUCAAAG